rnacentral:rRNA from 1 species
UUUCUCAAUGGGGGAAACCCUKAAGGAGCGACGCCGCGUGGGGGAUGAAUGGCUUUGGCCCGUAAACCCCUGUCAUUUGCGAUCAAACCUUACGACCAAACACGUCGUAAGCUGAUAGUAGCGGAAGAGGAAGGGACGGCUAACUCUGUGCCAGCAGCCGCGGUAAUACAGAGGUCCCAAGCGUUGUUCGGAUUCACUGGGCGUAAAGGGUGCGUAGGCGGUCGGGUAAGUCUGACGUGAAAUCUUCAAGCUCAACUUGGAAACUGCGUCGGAUACUAUUCGGCUAGAGGAAUGGAGGGGAGACUGGAAUACUUGGUGUAGCAGUGAAAUGCGUAGAUAUCAAGUGGAACACCAGUGGCGAAGGCGAGUCUCUGGACAUUUCCUGACGCUGAGGCACGAAAGCCAGGGGAGCAAACGGGAUUAGAUACCCCGGUAGUCCUGGCCCUAAACGGUGCACGUUUGCUGUAAGAGGAAUCGACCCCUUUUGUGGCGAAAUUAACGCGUUAAACGUGCCGCCUGGGAAGUACGGCCGCAAGGUUAAAACUCAAAGAAAUUGACGGGGGCCUGCACAAGCGGUGGAGUAUGUGGCUUAAUUCGAUGCAACGCGAAGAACCUUACCUGGCCUUGACAUGCACAUAGUAGAAGCCUGAAAGGGUGACGAGGUAGCAAUACCAGUGUGCACAGGUGCUGCAUGGCUGUCGUCAGCUCGUGUCGUGAGAUGUUGGGUUAAGUCCCGCAACGAGCGCAACCCCUGUGUCCUGUUGCCACCCCUUAACUGGGAGCACUCUGGACAGACUGCCUCGCUUCAACGAGGAGRAAGGUGGGGAUGACGUCAAGUCAGUAUGGCCCUUACGGCCAGGGCUGCACACGUACUACAAUGCCCGGCACAAAGGGAAGCAAGACCGUCAGGUGGAGCAAAUCCCAAAAAACCGGGCCCAGUUCAGAUUGUCGUCUGCAACUCGACGACAUGAAGCUGGAACGCU